rnacentral:rRNA from 1 species
GAUGAACGCUAGCGGCAGGCUUAAUACAUGCAAGUCGAGGGGCAGCAUGGUGUAGCAAUACACUGAUGGCGACCGGCAAACGGGUGCGGAACACGUACAGAACCUUCCUUCGAGCGGGGAAUAGCCCAGAGAAAUUUGGAUUAAUACCCCAUAGUAUAUUGAAAAGGCAUCUUUUUAAUAUUAAAGAUUUAUCACUUGAAGAUGGCUGUGCGGCUGAUUAGGUAGUUGGCGGGGUAACGGCCCACCAAGCCUGCGAUCAGUAACUGGUGUGAGAGCACGACCAGUCACACGGGCACUGAGACACGGGCCCGACUCCUACGGGAGGCGGCAGUAAGGAAUAUUGGUCAAUGGACGAAAGUCUGAACCAGCCAUGCCGCGUGGAGGAUGAAGGUCCUCUGGAUUGUAAACUUCUUUUAUAUGGGACGAAAAAAGGCUUUUCUAAGUCGUCUGACGGUACCAUAUGAAUAAGCACCGGCUAACUCCGUGCCAGCAGCCGCCGUAAAAC